UUGAGAUCCCGUGCAAUACCUAGGGUAUUGCACGGGGUGCAAUAGCUUAAAUCCUAGCCUUCCAUUCAAUCUAAUGGCUCUAAAAUACCUCCACGUCAUCGAUCCGCGUCACUUAGGAAAAAAAAUUUUAAUUCACUCUCAUUCCUUUUUUCUCUCAUUUUUUUUUCUUCUGUUCAUAUCUCUCUCUCCAACUUUUCACUCCGCAGUCCUUUCCUCUGUUCUCUCUAAUUCUCAAAAUUUUCAAAAAAUCCUGAUGUUGCUGACUUGCUUUUGCCGCUACCACUCUCACGCCAAACCACCGUCAUCGCCACCAUGGCGCCACUCACCAGCCACCAUUUCUCUUCCCCAACGAUCUAUCAACCCCUGCUAUGCCUCUAUCGGCUCCACUGCCUAGCAUCUCCAAUCUGCACCGCUGGCCCAAUCACUUCCCAGAUGAUAGAGCAUAGAGCUCCAGCCAAGCUAUAUUGCCAGAAAAGGUUUUGAAGCAUUCCUUAUGGAUUGAUAUCUUGAUGCUAGCAAGACUAAUUUUCAGUGUCAUUAAAGUUUUAGACUUGAUAUGAGUGAACUUCUUUUUACUUCGAAACAUGUAAUGAGACAAAAAAGACUUGCUUGAGUUUUAUGUUGUAUCGUUCAAUUUUGACACUUGAGUGUCCCUGUUUAUGUAUACAAAAACCCUUACAAUGAUGUAUAGUGUAAACCAAGAGAAUGUAAUAAAGUGCAAUUAUUCUUUUCUUGAUAUUUCAA